UUAAACCACGUGCCAGUAUUCACCCGUUCAAAAACUAUGGUAGAGCGUGGCGAGGCCAACAAUCACUAGAUCUACUAUUUGAACCUAUUAUCGAGAUACUGUUGGUUAGAUACCCCAUAUCAAGC